rnacentral:lncRNA from 1 species
GGCGGGUCGGGAGGAGGAGGGGAAGGCGGAGGGGGAGGAGGAGGUGGGGGAGGCGGAGACGGAGGAGGUGGAGAGGGGGGCUCGGGCGACGGAGGAGGUGGAGAGGGGGGAGGAGGCGAGGGAGGGGGCGGAGAGGGAGGAGGAGGCGACGGGGGCGGCGGGGACGGAGGAGGAGGCGACGGGGGAGGCGGAGACGGAGGAUCGGGAGAGGGAGGGGGAGGAGGCGGCGGGCUGGGAGGUGGAGGCGACGGGGGAGGCGGCGAAGGAGGGGGAGGUGACGGCGGCGAUGGGCUGGGCGGAGGCGGGCUGGGCGGCGGGGGAGACGGCGGCGGAGGCGAUGGAGGGGGAGGCGAAGGGGGAGGCGGCGACGGAGGCGGAGGGCUGGGCGGAGGCGGGCUCGGGGGCUCAGGUGACGGAGGCUCGGGUGAAGGUGGCAGCGGCGACGGGGGGGUGGGGGAGGGCGGAGGCGAAGGAGGAAUGGGAGGAGAGGGAGGAAUCGGCUCCGGGGGCGGUGAGGGCGGUACGGGCGGGUUCGGGGGAGGAGGUGGAGAGGGAGGACGAGGCGACGGGGGAGGAGGCGAGGGCGAGGGAGGCGGAGGCAAGGGAGGAGAAGGGCUGGGAGGCAGCGGCGACGGCGGCAGGGGGCUCGGAGGAGGAGGGCUGGGAGGGGGAGGGGAAGGCGGAGGCGGCGACGGCGGCGGGGGGCUGGGGGGCGGAGGGCUGGGAGGGGGAGGGGAAGGUGGGGGAGGAGAAGGUGGAGGCGGGGAGGGCGGCGGCGGGCUGGGAGGACGAGGGCUGGGAGGAGGAGGGGAAGGUGGAGGCGGGGAGGGCGGCGGCGGGCUAGGCGGAGGAGGGUUCGGAGGAGGCGGGCUGGGCGGCGGGGGGCUCGGCGGCGGCGGCGAGGGAGGAGGAGGCGAGGGCGGCUGCGGGCUCGGCGGCGAGGGCGGCUCCGGGCUCGGCGGCUCCGGUGACGGAGGGGGAGCGUCAGGAGGCGAGGGGCUGGGCGGCAGCGGGCUCGGCGGCCGCGGGGGCCGCGGGGGCGGCGGGCUGGGCGGCGGCGGGCUGGGCGGCGGGCUGGGGGGCGCGGGGUCCACCGCGACGAACGACUCCUUGGUUGACACGGUGGGGGUGGUGCUGACCUUCUCAGUGUCCAUGUUGCAGGUGCUGGAAGACGACGAGUCGCGGGCAAACACGGAGCGCACGGUGAGUCGGGCGUCGAUGUCGAAGGGCGUGCAGCCCAGGCCGCCGGGCUGCAGGGCGUCCACGUUGAACUGGAAGGUGUAGCAGGCGAAGGUGGCCCAGCUGGAGCUGGGCGAGCGCGUCUGCGUACGGAUGCAAGGCACGUGGAAAGGAGUUGGACGGCAGGAGAAGGGGUCAGCGCACCAAGUAAUUUGCAUUGGACGCACGGUCCUGGCUGCACUGCAAGUGGCACGAAGGCCCGGCGCCCGCCGCGUUCUUUCUCCCCCAACCGUGUCGCUUCCUUGCCACCCACUCACAACACGCCUCCGCUACUGCACCCACCAGGCUCGAGACGGCGGUGCCGGCCUGGCCGUUGAGCACGUAGCUCAGCAGCAGGAAGCUGUUGGUGUCCACGCCGCUAGAGUCGGUCUUGGGCGACCACAGCAGGUAGGGGCAGGUCAUCUGGACCGUCGCGUAUAGCAUGCCGGAGGAAGUGCGGAACACGGUGGCCUUGCCCACGGUCACUGUGUUGCCGCUGGUGUCCUGGUUGGUCACGGCAAUCGUCUGCAGCGCCAGCACGCCCCGGUUGUUCUUGCACACCUGUUGGGGCGAGGGGCGGACGCAACAGGCGGCGACAGGGGGUCGUGAAGUCGGGUCAAGCGAGUUGUGGCGUAAUGUCAAGUACAGUGGACGUCAGGCAGUCUUUUCCUCCAAGGUCCCAGACUGCUGUACACUCACGUCGCUGUCGGGGUAGGAGCCCUUGAGGUACUGCGGCACCUUGCAGAUGAUGCCGUCAGUGCCGAAGUUGUCAACGGUGCUGCACUUGCCUGCGGGCAUGGAACAAGGGGGUAGCGGCGCGGGCGGCAAGCGCAUGAAGUUGGAGGUCAGGCUCGCAUGAAACACGCACGUGUAACACGCAUGUAGGCAAAUCCCGGGCGCAGCACAGACACGCACAGCGGCAACUAGAGGCUGGGUGGCCCGGCCGGGCAGCUCACCCAGGCAGGGCGGGCAGGACGCGAGGCCGCCGGCGUAGCAGUAGUCCACCUCGCGCCCGUUGGUGGGCGGCGGCGGAGGCGGCGAGGGUGAAAUCGAGGGCGGCGGCAUGUCCUGCAGCUGGCAGGUGGAGGAGCAGCCGUCGCCGUCCAACACGUUGCCGUCACUGCGGGGUUGGCGGCGCGGGGUUCACAUUCAUUGAAUAUUUAAGAUGUGCACAGGGGAGUAGCAGGGGGUUGGCGGCGCGGGGUUCACAUUCAUCAAACAUAUAAGAUGUGCACAGUGGAGUUGCAGGCGCGGGCAGGAGUGGGGUUUGCAGUGGAGCAGAGCGGUGUCAAACGCGUGUUGCUUCUCCUCAAAGAAAGCAGAACAAAAGCACAGGGUGAGCAGCGCCCACGCAGUGGGGCACUCACUCGCACUGCUCGUCAGGGUCCAGGAUGCCGUCGCCGCAACGCCAGCAGUCCUCAUCAAGCUUGUCAAUUAAGCCGUCGCCGUCGUUGUCAAUGCCAUCGUAGCCUGGCCACGAAAGGGCGGACAGAGGCAGGAGGUGGGCCAUUGCACGUGUCAGAUGAAGGCGCCGCCCAAUGGAAGGCAUGUGCGAGCAGCCAUUAUCGUCUUCCUCAGCAAGCAGACGCACAGCAAAAAGUCCCGACCGCGAUUAGAUAGGUGAACACACGCACAUACACCCGCUCCCCUUGUCCUUUCCUCACACAAACACACACGGCCGCGCACUCACAGUUCUCGGCGGUGAGAAUGGUGUUCUGGUUGCACAGCACUGUGGCACGGCAGUUCUGGUUGGGGCCGUACGGCUCCGGGCACAGGCGCGCCUGGGUGGCAAGCACGCGCAGGCCGUUCCUGCACAUAUGUCGGGGAACUCACAGACCUGAGUCAUCUGGGCAUGUGUGCGCAUUUACUUCGUGUGUGGCUGGCAGAGCCACGUUGGUGGGGUGGCGUUCAGGUGCCGAACUCACCAGUCGAUGGGCCCGGUCCAGUAGCCGUGCCAGUACACGUGGUCCACGUUGCUGCGGGCGCAUGGCGGUGGUGCGGUGGGGCAGGGCGUACAUGCAAUGUUCAGGACAGGGCCAGCAUGCAGCACAAUGGAACAUAUGUACGGUGUGGGCAGCAGGGCGCGGGGGCGGCAGCCCCUGGCAACAUGGAGUCAAGCAUGGUGCGGACAUGGUGUGCAUGUGCAUACGCGCCGCGGCUGCUCAUCACUCACUCGCUGUUGGUGACGGGGCUGAUCUGCAUCAUGUCCUCCGUCACGUCCGCGUCCUGGAAAUCCAGAGCCGUGAAGUUGAGCGGCACAGGCAGGAAGCCGUAGCUAUCCUUGCCAAAGCCCGCCUGCGAGGUGGCGUGGCGCAUGUAUGGUCAUGUGUUCAUAACCGAAGAGGCAGUGGUAGAGGGUGGACCCCGGUGCGUGCAUGCGUGUGCAACGCGAGCGAGGCCCUUCGAUACGAAGGCACACGGAAGCACGCAACCGCGCACACCUACCUGCGUGAGAACCACCAUGGAUCCACCGCGCUUGUUGACAUAGUUGAUGAUGUCGGCCUUGAUGCUAAUCAGCGCCUUGUUAAGCGUCGAGGAGAUGCCGCCGGGCGUGUUCAGGUCUGCGGGCGUUGGACGGGGCAGCGACGAGCGGGCGUUUGUUAUGCACGGACAAAAGCCAGGCUAAAGAGCAGUGGGCGGGCAUGUGAAGCGCUCACGCACCGUUAGAGGGGAUGUAGAGCAUCUUGUAGGAGCUGAGGUUGGCGUUGGUCACGGCGGCCGCAGUGGUGGCGUAGGUGAUCUUAGACACCGGGUAGUUGGCACUUGCCACCCAUCCCUCGAUGGAGUUCCUGUGUGCGCAAACGGGAAGAAGGUCGCAAACAGGCAGCGGGGUGCGCACGAUCGCAUCAGCAUUGCUGCAGUUGCGGUGCGACCGCUGCGAUUUGCGCCCCUAGCAGAUCCGACCCAUUUAUUUCCAUCUCCUCACUUCUGCCACAAACCCCUGCCUCAGGCCCUGCGAGACACCCCGCUCUGUUAUGCCUUCUUCCACUUACCUAGCCUGGGUGUUGGCCUUGAAGGUCCCCACUGCCAGGAUGCCAUCGGCGUCGGCCGGUGCAAACGAGAUAGCCAUACUGCAUGGACAAGAUGCAUGGGCAGGCACGGAGGUAAGACAACUCCGCUGUUCAUACGUGUCGAGGGGUGUGCUGAAUACGUGUUCUGAGGACUAGCGAUGCCAAAAGACCGCAUACGCCCACAGCUGCACCGUUAGCUUGAAGCACAGACACGCUCAUAAACACACAUGCACAUCGACCAACCUGAUGACAUUGCUGUACAGAGCACCGCAGCGAGUGCCCUGACAAUGAACCUGCGAGGAAGGAAAGGAACGAGGGACGAGGAGCAGGCCAGGUCAGCACGCACGCGUCAGGCAUGUCGGCCCAGCCCGCAGGUCCAGCUUCCGGGAGCCAGAUGCAACGUGCGCACUGACAAAGCAUUGCGGCAUUGCAGCACUGCUGCCCUGACGUGCGGCACUCACCGCGUCAUCGGCGUCGUCAGACGAGAAGAAGGUGAAACCUCCCUUGCCCUUGUCCAUCCGGAAACUGGCGGGCGGAACCGGGGGGUUCGGGGGUGGGCUCGGCGGCGGCGGGCUUGGGGGGCUGGGCGGGCUCGGCGGCCGCGGGCUGGGCGGCUUGGGACUCGGCGGCGAAGGGCUGGGCGGCUUGGGGCUGGGCGGCCGAGGGCUGGCCUUUGGCGACGCCUGGUUCACUGCGGGGUUGCGGACAAGUGUGAGGGGCACGGACUUGGGACAUGUCUGUAUGCGGGACUGGGUUCAGCAAGGUGGGCUGGUCCCGGCCCGUUGUAAGGGGGGGCGGGCUAGCACAUGGGUUAGAAGCUGUGGGGAAGGAGCGCUUGGUAAAGCCCCACGCCUAGUAAUGAUGAGUGGGGGGGAGCGAGUUGAGACCGCAAUGGGGUGGAGAACACAAUGGGCUGGGGUAGGAGGAGCUCGAAGGCCCAGAGGACUGAGGAAGGUGCGAGGGCGGGUCUGUGGCAAGCCUGCGGAAGGUCACACUCCGCUCGUCCCCAGCGCUAUGACCGACGCCAAGCCAACAUGCGCUAGUGACGCGACACUCACGUCUGCGGCGGAAUAACGUUGUCUCCGUGGCGUCACUUGUGGACAUCUCCAUGGACACGCGCGCUGCGUUCGCGGAGAAUGCGAACGCAACCAGCGCCACAACCAGCAUGUGGCCGAGCCAUGGUGAGAACAACCUCCUCCCCAUGGCAACCCCCUGCAGAAUGGUUGUACAGGCAUCAAGUAGCUCAACAUCUGGUCAUGCAGGGCCAACAUUGUGCGAGAGAGGAUGUUGAGUAAGGUUCGGCCCUGUGAAGAAAAUUUUGCUUGGUUGAAGGUCCUUGGUUCUUCCUACUACGCAGUCCCUGUCUACGAAUAUAGACAGCCAGAUACACCUACCGACGCUAGCAGCGCCAGCGAGGGUGCUCCGUCAGGUCGAGCGAUGCGCGGGAGUGGCCCCGCACGCCGCUGUCUGCAGAAUUACGUCCUUUGGGUGCUCUGUUAUGGCGACCACUUGUUGAGCUGCGCAAGAGCAACGUCUUUGUCAGAAACCAGUGUCCAAAAAUACCACACCCAAACGCUUCGUCAAGCGGAAAGCGCAGGUAUUAGCUUCAUGAGCACGCGAAUACGCAGCUUAUAUAUUUAUGGCGAGGCUCAGGGGCGCACCUGGGCAAUUCAAUGCCGGCGCAAAAUGACGAGCAACCACCAAUGAUGCAAACUCGGCGACGCUGCGAGUUUCACGUGCAGGAUGAUUUAGUGCUUGUGAAGGUAUGCUUACGGGCUCGCCACAGUACUAGUAUGUUCUCUUAGGAGCCUGCGUUAAGCGGGCGAACAACUGAGCUUUGUCACAACUGCACUGUCUCUGCAAAUGUAUGUCAGUGUCUUUACUUUGUUACAGCAACGUGUGUGAAUCGGGCCAUAUGACAUGCCUCCGCACUGACGAGCACGAUUACGAAAACACUUGCAUGGGGCGCACCCGACGAAGUCAGGACGCAGGCCGAGCGUAGCCGGAGUUCGUCCAGCUGGACUUAUUUUACGUUGAAUUAUCGAUGCUAUAGAUUAGAGAAAGCUCUCAGGCAGGAGAAGCUACCUCAAGCCCGUGCAAAACGCGUUUGCCCCCGUCUGCAGUUUCUCUCCGACUCCCUUUCAUGCACAAGAAAGGAAGAGCCAAAUCUAUCAUAGGCCUUAAACUGGUGAAGACUGUGUCAUGUCGGACACGAAACUUACCUUACCUCAUCGGCGCACCGACGGCGGCAACCGCCCUAAACACAACGCAACGCUGGACUGGGGCGGUAUCGGUCAUCUUGUGCUUUGAGUUGUAGCUUUGGUGGCAUCUCUGGGGCCAGGGUAGUGAUGCAGCACCCGCGUCGCACGCGUCGCUUGUCUGUCGCGGCGGCACGUGGCUGCACGGCCGCCGCACCACCUGGCCUUUGAAGGCCACCGUGCGUGGUUAGCCCCAGGGAGCCAUGGAACCGUGGAACUUCAGGGCAAGCCCGUUUACUGCUACACGCUAUGUGCAUGGUUGUUAUACUUUUGCACAGCGGGUGCAGGUUUGGGCAGGGGGGCAGGUGCAGGUUUGGGCAGGGGGGCAGGUGCAGGUUUGGGCGGGGGCAGGUGCAGAUUUGGGCAGGGGGGGCAGGAGCAGGUUUGGGCGCGGGCAGGUGCAGGUUUGGGCGGGGGCAGGUGCAGGUUUGCGCAGGGGGGCAGGUGCAGGUUUGGGCGGGGGCAGGUGCGGGUGUAGGGCGGGGUACAUGGACUUGGGCCUGGGAUGCCGAACUGCUAGCGGCAGCCAGGGCGGCCAAAGGGCGUGCCUCGAGUUGAAAAGUCUCGCUGUGUGGCGGCAGGCCGCCAAGCUGAGGAGCAAGGGCUGGUGCGUGCACCGACGGGGAACAGAGCUGGCGGGAGAAAGGUGGCAAGCAUCCGCGCUGCCGCAUUCCGCACCCUGAUGGUGAAGGUCCCGCUCGGUUGUCUCGCAUCACGCACUCCAAUAGUAAGUGCGUUGGACAUCGCAACUCAGCAGGGUUUCACUGCUGCCCAGAUUAGCAGCUUUGCAUCCACCUGUGUGUGUGCAUUCGGUAGUGCCUGUAUGUAGUCUUGAAGGAAACGAAAUGCGCAUCCUGCGCAUGUAGUAGCGGGUGUCCUUUGGCAUGACAUCAGGCGGAGGAGCCCUGAUGUUUACUGUACCAGGGGAAUACAGCAAGACCGGAUGUGUGCGGAUUCCCCUUUUGUGCAGCUCCCGCAGUGUGGUACCCUGUACACUUCCAGCGCGCAGCUUCCUUGCGUGAGCCCAGCCCGUGCGCCCAGCCCUGCGUUACGCAUGUAGGUGGGCGUGGGGGACACGGGUGGCUUGCCCCCGGCUGGCCAAGGGUUUCGGGGCCUCGGAAAGGAGUUACAGUGCCUUCCAUCGGUGCGGCAUGCCCCCAUGGUGGGCCAUCCGUGGCUCUCGCCAGUACCGCUCCCCCGCCAGCUUCUGGGAUGUCCACCGCACAGCUGCCGGACAUUUGUUUGGGCUGAGCCAAAGCCGACGCCAACUCGGCUACAAACAUGCGGCACGCGCUGAUGGAGAUGCUGCUUGGCAAACCGCGGCCUGCAGCCCUGCGACCUGCUGGCGGCGGUGGCGGUGCAGGGCCUGGCGGCGGCGGUGGCGGCGGUGCAGGGCCUGGAGACGGCGGUGGCGGCGGCGGUGGCACCGCGCCUACCGGCGGCAACAGCAGCGGCCACAGCGUUGGGCCCGGUGGUGGCGGCGGCACGGGCGGCCCUGGGCCCAGCGGCAGUGGCGGCGCGCAUAUUCGGAGCAGAGGGGGCGGGCAAGGCCACGUGGAGGAGGACAGCGCGGCGCCGCCCAAGAAGCGGCGCAAGGCUGAGGAGCCGGCUGGCGGUGUCUAGGUAGCGGUCUGCGGUGGGGCUGGCAGGGCAUGCGUAGCGGCAUGACAAGUAGUGCGGCUGUUGACAACUGUGCUGCGUCUGGCUGCGGUUGGCUCUGCUGUGGCAUCGCGACUGCUAGAUAGGCACCUGGUUGGCUUGCCCCUUCCCCCGAAGGGGGAGGGGCAAUAGCCAUUGCGGUCGCCGUAGCUCCUCGAAGCGUAGCGUAGAGCAGAGCGGAGGACUACACCACUUUAGCACCCAGCGUACCCUGGACGGCACCCUGGACCGGCUUCUCGCACACACACGUUGCACGCACGCACGCAGCGCCACACUAUAGCAUGUAAUGCAGUGAAUUGCAACGCGGCUUGGGUUACGCGCGAAGCACGAGCGCGGCAGGCGUAGAAGGAAAAAAGUUGCUUCUCGCACACACGCGUUACACGCACACACGCAGCGCCACACUAUAGCAUGUAAUGCAGUGAAUUGCAACACCGGUUUGGUUACACGCGAAACACGAGCGCGGCAGGCGUUGAACAAAGAAAGCUAUGUGGCGCCCAGGGCAGGUGCCCUGGUGGCGCCAGUUUCGCGUUUUGCACAUGCAGGCCACUGCACAGAAUAGCAUGUAAUGCAAAGUACUGAGCAUGCGAGCGUGGAACGCCAGCGUCGGUGAAGCCGGCGAGACGGGGAAGUCGGCGAACUCGGCGAGGAAGGCCUAUCUCGGCACAGCUGCAAGGUAUUAGGUGCCAAGGUAUGACCAGAAUGUUACAGGAGCAGGCAGUCGGUUGCUAGGCUUAUUGGCAACCAUGCGACCAACAAUGUAUCGCAGUGUAGAUUUGCUGUGGGAAUCUAUUUUCACAUUGUAAUAUGUAGCCGCACGUAUACACAGCUGUGUAAGGAACGGGCAGGACAUAGCGUGACGAAGAACGCACGGUUAGUUGUCGGCCUUUGGCCAUUCGUCUGUGGCCUCUGCAGAAGCGGCAUAAUAGCACUGCCUUAAAGUCAGAAAAGGCAUCGCCUAGAAGCUCAUUCAAUGGGCCAGGCGUGUCAAGGAGUUAUGUCGCGCAUCGUCGAUGUUUCCUCGGCGGUGGCUGAGGCGGUGGAAAGUCGCGAGGACGGCUCCUGUGCAUUCCAAGCACUGGCGUGUGGCCUUGGGGUGGCCUGGCAACGGGAGCAGCUUCGUGUCUUCGCAGCCUGGCUGUCCGUGGCAUGACCAUACCCGCAGUCAACCGGCACCAGCCCAUGCACUACAAGUUACAUCUCGCCCGGUAUGUUCAGGUCGCACCGCCACCGUCCCUCGCCACCUUUAACAGCGCGAUCUAGUCUCCAGCACGCACUAUCCUCUAUGUGCGCCUACUUCCACGUCCUGUCCACCCCCAUCCAUUUGCGCCGUGCGCUUCCUCUGUCCCCGAUCUGGCACCACGCGCUCAUCCGUUUCGCAACACCACAAUCGCUGCCGCAGCGACGUCCCCAAUUACACGCAUGGCGGUCUCUAACCGUGCAACCGCUUGUGCACGCUGUGCGCGCUGCGUGUCCGCACCUCCGUCCACAGCUGCUGCUUCCCCCCUGCCAGGUGGCGUGGCUGCACCGACCAACACAGCGUCCGCUAGACCGCAAGCCCCCACUGCCUCCACCUCCUCCUGUAGCUCCAGGAUGCGCGCCCAGAGUGGCCCACCGCGCAAGCUCGCCUCCGCAUGCGUGCCUGUGGGCGACCUGGUCAGGCCUGCUGCGCCGGCGACACCGUGGCCCGCCACAGGCAGCGCCGCUGCCACUCUCUGGGUGGCUGUUUUCCAUCCGCUGCUUUGCUUAAGGGGCGGGGCCCCACAUUAGCCUGCAAGUGAAGAACGGCAGGCAUGCAGCGCUGUGAAAGUAUCCUGGGUGAGGAAGCCCGCACCCCAUCCCUCAACCCCCCACGCACCGUGCGACGCUACGUUUCCUGCCCACCGCGUUGUUGCCUGACCUGUGCGGUACACGAUGGCACGCAUGUGUUUUUUGGCAUGACUCACGGCUCUGCAGACUCGCAAGGAGGUCUAGUCUUGGUCCUGGCACGCUGCCCAUGCUUGCACACCCAUGCAUUCCCCCUGCUUCCACAGGCCUGCACCCCAGGCAGUCACCCCUGCCCAACUCGCUGCUCGAGCCACCACAGGGCUGGCCGGUGUGCUGCGCCGUGGGUUGCUGCCCCCCACACUCUUGAUGGGCACUGCAGCCGCCAGGGCACUGGCCUGCGGCCUGCCGGUCAACAGCAAGUCGCCAUCAGACACUGACACCGGCAAUGCGGCCCCCGGCGACUGAUGAGCUGCAGUGGAAGGUACCUCCGCUCCGAUCCCUCCGGUUCCUUGUGCUGCUGAUGCCACGCCCUGUGCGGAAAUGCGGCCAGAGGUUCCGCGUGCACCAGGCGUGGCCGCGCCUAGCUCUACAGACUUGCCCCCGCCGUUGGUCCAUGCCACAGCAUGCGUGCCAGCUGCCAGCCUGCACAUGGGGUUCAUCGGCAGUAUCCAGAUGUGAUCUGCUGGCAGAACAGACAGACCCGCCUGGCGCGGCGCACACUGAACAAAUCGCCAGCCACCCACCCAUUCCCCUGCCCACGCCCACGUGCACACUUACCCAAUAGCGUGUGAUGCCGCCACCACGGCAGCUACCUGCUCGCGACCCAAGGGGCGCAGGUCCGCCUUGGGCACCUCACCCGACGGCCCGGUCGCGGGCGCCUGUCCAGCCAGCUGCCGCCCGCAACACAACCUCCUGCUGCCCGCACAGCAGCUCCUGCGCAGUCUUGACGUCGUCCGCCCCCUUGACAAAGAACGCGCUGCCAUACACAUCACAACGGGCCCGCCCAACCUUGUCCACCGGUGCUUCCAGCCCUCGGACCCAUGCGCGACAGCGCUUCCCUCCAGAAGCACGACCAUGUCCCCGUGCCCGAUCUCGAACCAGGACUGCACCCCACCGAGGACAAACAUGGACCGCCCGUGGACCGCCACCCCAGGCGAGCUGCUCGAGCACCCGGCUUCGCUGGCGACUCCAGGUGCCACGCCCUGGGUCACUACGAUUCCAUGACAACGCCUUUGCAUUUACCCCCUAACCCCAAACCGCCCAGCCCUGGCAGUGCCGGGCCCCGCCCCCCCCUCCAACCCCCGCGUCCCGUCCCAUGUGCUCCGCUCCUGCUUGCAGCCUCAACCUUUCGGACCCCACCCCAGGCUCCCGCCCACCGCACCCUACCCCCCGGCUCCCGCUCCCGCCCCCCACCUAGCCCUCCACACCCCAACUCAACACGACCUGUUUUCGUAACCGCUCACCGUGGUCGGUUGCAGGUCGUGCGCCCACACGAUGACGGUCCUAUAAAAGUCCUCCUUGUCCAUGUGCUGUAGGCGCGGUGGCUCAAGGACCUGGACACUAGUUGAAAAGGUGCAUACUCCUCGUCCAGGCACAGCAUCAGCCCGCCACCCGCAAGCGGGAUGUACGCACGCCGCAGCGCCUCUGGAUACAGGCCCUGCAGCUGCUUCCCCACCUCCACGGCGUACGCUGCCACUGCCGCGCGCUCCUCCGGGGUGCCGGCGGCGUUGUGCGCGUACCAGUACGCCGCGACAUACUUGCCGCGAGUGUGCCAGCAGUUGACGCGCUUGCCCGCCGCCAUCAGCAGCUGCUUCCCUGGCGCUUGGCUACUGCGCUCGGACACCACCUUGAACGCGGACUCCGACUUUACCUGCGCAUGCCGAAGCCGGUUCCCACGGUCCGCCGUGCCUGGCCAGUAUGUACCCAGCAGCUGCAGGUCAGGCCACUCUGCAACCUGCUCGCCCCAUGCCUUGAGCAGGCCAGCGCACACCUGAAUGUUGUGCGUGGUGGGCUGGCCGGUCGAUGAGCCCCAGCCACGGCAGCAGGCACCCGUGCGCCGCUGGCCCCUGCUGCCGCACAGCUGCACGCGGCGAGGAGAGAGGAAUGCACAUCACGCAGUCACGUCAACGUGGGCUCAGUGGUCACCCAUACACGACACGAGGCAGGAGGGAGGCACGGGCGCACAGCAGAGCCACGCUGCGCUAUCGAAGCGAGCAAGGCAGCAAAGCAGGUGCGCGAAUCCGUACGUGACGCACCUGCUUGACGUUACCACGGUGGGCGGCGCCGCAACCACGGCAGCCACAGCACUUGCACUGCUGGCCGCUGCUGAAGCAUAGAGCCGGGGGGGGGGG